ensembl:rRNA 5S_rRNA 5S ribosomal RNA
UGCCACAGCCAUAUCACCCUGCAGCCCAAGACCGGUUAUUUACUUAAGCUAAGCAGGGCUGAGCCUAGUCAGUACCAGGAUGGUAGACUACAUGAGAAAAAUAGGAUGCUGUUGGAU